AUGAAGAUUAAUAGGCUCUUUAUUUUAUUGUUAGGAACUGCAGGUGCUGCUUUUAUUUAUAUAAAUGUGUGCUGGCUCCUGGCCGUGGGCUCAGCCCAGGACGAAUUCUCCUGUGGGACUUCAGGGAGAGGAACUUUCUCAUACUGCCUCUGCCCGAGAGCCAACGUCACAUCACAUUUGAAUGUGAGCAUGGAGUGCCUGCAUGGUCCUUUGAUAGAAACUACAGCUCUGUCCUUCAUCAAGAGCAUCUCCACUGCUCCUCCCUUCAAGACUAUGGCUUGAAUAAGAACAAAGAACAAACAAAAUCCACAAGGACUUGGCUUGACUGGGAAGUUCCUUAUAGGCAUUGUGGGGGGAUUUAUAAGAAAAAAAAAAGGGCAGACCCUGGAAACCAUCUCCCCAAGGAUCUGCUGAGAACAAAUACAGAACAAGGAGCCAUGAAAAUAGGUUCCUGGGUAGUAGGUAACAUAGCACAUCAGUCUGGUUCCUCAGGGAAGGGACUUCUACAGGUAUCAUGAGCCAUGUGUGGGAAUUACAGGGUCUUAAAGGGCAGGACAGGUACCUUGAUUUGGAUUUCUGGAGGACCAGAGAGUUGGACUGCUCUGCAAAACACCCAGAUUAUGUGCAGUCUGAAGUGCCUCAGUGACUGCUGCAAGAGCUCUUGCGUGGCAAUGUGUAACAGCACACUCAA
rnacentral:lncRNA from 1 species